GUUUAUUUUAUUAAAAAUAAUUAUAAAAUAAAAAGUUUUAGUAUUUUAUUAAGAAAAAAUAAUUUUAAUAAUAGUUUAUUAGUAUUGUGUAAUAAAAUUGAAAUAAAUUGAAAAAUUUUUAUUUAAUAAGAAAAUUUAAUUAAUUGUACCUUGUGUGUCAGGGUUUAUUUAUUAAAAAAUAUUUAUAUUAUUUUUCUCGAUUUUAAAAGAGUUAAUAAAUUAUGAUAGUUAAUGUAAUAAAUUUAUUAUUAAUAAUUUAUUAGAAAUGAAAUGUUAUUCGUUUUUAAAGGUAUCUAGUUUUUUAAGAAAUGAAUUUAAUUCAAUUUUUUUUAUGUAUGUAUUUAAUUUAUUAAAUUAUAUUUAUAAAAAAAAUAAUAUUUUAUGGGAUAAGCUAUAAAAUAAAUGAUUUAAAAAUAAAAUUUAAUUUUAAAAAAUAUAAGCUUAGAAUUAGUUUUUAUUAAUAAAUUUGUUAUAAAUUAUUUUAUACAAAAAAUUAUUUAUUUAAUUUUAAAUUUUUUAUUAAAAUAUUUAUUUUAAUUUCUUUUAUAAAUUAAUAAUGAUAAAAUUAGUAUAUUUAAUAAAUAUAAAAAUUAAUUUUAAUUGAAAAGUUAUUAUAAAGAAUUCGGCAAAAUAAAUAUUUGCCUGUUUAAUAAAAACAUGUCUUUUUGUAAUUAAUUUAAAGUCUAACCUGCCCACUGAAAAAUUUUUAAUGGCUGCAGUAUUCUAACUGUACAAAGGUAGCAUAAUCAUUAGUCUUUUAAUUGAAGGCUUGUAUGAAUGGUUGGACAAAAUAUUAACUGUUUCAUAAUAAUUUAUUAUAGAACUUUAUUUUUUAGUUAAAAAGCUAAAAUUUAUUUAAAAGACGAGAAGACCCUAUAGAUCUUAAUAAAUUUUAUAUAUUAAUUAUAAUUAUUAUUUAAUUAUUAUAUUUAAAUUUAUUUUAUUGGGGUGAUAUUAAAAUUUAAAAAACUUUUAAUUAUAUUUAAACAUUAAUAUAUGAAUAAUUGAUCCGUUAUUAUUGAUUAAAAAAUUAAGUUACCUUAGGGAUAACAGCGUAAUUUUUUUGGAGAGUUCAAAUCGAUAAAAAAUAUUGCGACCUCGAUGUUGAAUUAAGAUAUAAUUUUGGGUGUAGAAGUUCAAAUUUUAAAAUCUGUUCGAUUUUUAAAUUCUUACAUGAUUUGAGUUUAGACCGGCGUAAGCCAGGUCGGUUUCUAUCUUUAAAACAAUAAAAUAUUUUAGUACGAAAGGACCAAAUAUUUAAAAUAUAUUUUUAUUUAAUGAAUUAAAUUAAAAAGGUUAAA
rnacentral:rRNA from 1 species